rnacentral:rRNA from 1 species
UACGUAGGUGGCAAGCGUUAUCCGGAAUCAUUGGGCGUAAAGGGUGCGUAGGUGGCGUACUAAGUCUGUAGUAAAAGGCAAUGGCUCAACCAUUGUAAGCUAUGGAAACUGGUAUGCUGGAGUGCAGAAGAGGGCGAUGGAAUUCCAUGUGUAGCGGUAAAAUGCGUAGAUAUAUGGAGGAACACCAGUGGCGAAGGCGGUCGCCUGGUCUGUAACUGACACUGAGGCACGAAAGCGUGGGGAGCAAAUAG